rnacentral:tRNA from 1 species
GUUUAAAAAAAUAUGUCGCGUAAGUGCCCACAAUAAAUUGUCUGAUUUUACAGAAAUUGGUAGCAAAUUGUAUCUAAAUAACUUAUUAUUUAAUAAUUAAUAAAGUUACUAACCUAGUUUUAAGUUUAAUAAAACUAUUUUUACUGUGAAAGCGAUAGAUGUUUUACUUGUAUAGUUUCUUUCACUUGGAUUUAAUUUGCGCCGCUGGCAGUUUUAGUCCCCUUCGUCUAGUGGUCUAGGACACUGCCCUUUCACGGCGGCAACAGGGGUUCGACCCCCCUAGGGGACGUUCUUUCUGAAAAUUAUUUCAAAGAUCAUUUUUUUUAAAAUGCUAUGAAAUACUGUUCUUUAACAAUUAGGAAUAGGCUGACACUUACUAUAAGAUAAGUAUAUAGUUUAGCUUAAUACUUUUCAAACAAUAUGAGCAACCUUUAUUUAUUAAUUAAAUUGUUAACUCUAUUGCUACAUAUUAUUUUAAUAUCAUUCCUUAAAAAUCAGCAUUUAGUUUAAACAGUUCAGGGUUGUAA